AAAUGAAUAGACGGGGGCCCGCACAAGCAGUGGAGUAUGUGGUUUAAUUCGAAGCAACGCGAAAAACCUUACCAGGUCUUGACAUCCGAUGAAAAGCAUAGAGAUAUGUAAUAGCCUUCGGGCACAUCGAGACAGGUGGUGCAUGGUUGUCGUCAGCUCGUGUCGUGAGAUGUUGGGUUAAGUCCCGCAACGAGCGCAACCCUUAUCAUUAGUUGCUACGCAAGAGCACUCUAGUGAGACUGCCGUUGACAAAACGGAGGAAGGUGGGGAUGACGUCAAAUCAUCAUGCCCCUUAUGACCUGGGCUACACACGUACUACAAUGGCCAUUAACAAAGAGUCGCAAACCCGCGAGGAGGAGCCAAUCUUCAAAAAUGGUCUCAGUUCGGAUUGUAGGCUGCAACUCGCCUACAUGAAGUCGGAAUUGCUAGUAAUCGCGGAUCAGCAUGCCGCGGUGAAUACGUUCCCGGGCCUUGUACACACCGCCCGU
rnacentral:rRNA from 1 species